GAUGAACGCUGCGGCGCGCCUAACACAUGCAAGUCGAACGAUUAAAGCACCUUCGGGUGUGUAUAAAGUGGCGAACGGCUGAGUAACACGUGGGCAACCUGCCCCUCUCAUUGGGAUAGCCACGGGAAACCGUGGAUAAUACCGAAUACUUCGAGACUUCCGCAUGGAAGACUCGAGAAAGCUCCGGCGGAGAGGGAUGGGCCCGCGGCCUGUUAGCUUGUUGGUGGGGUAACGGCCUACCAAGGCAAUGAUGGGUAGCUGGGUUGAGAGACCGACCAGCCAGAUUGGGACUGAGACACGGCCCAGACUCCUACGGGAGGCAGCAGUGGGGAAUCUUGCACAAUGGGCGAAAGCCUGAUGCAGCGACGCCGCGUGCGGGAUGAAGGCCUUCGGGUUGUAAACCGCUUUCAGCAGGGACGAGGCGAAAGUGACGGUACCUGCAGAAGAAGCCCGG
rnacentral:rRNA from 2 species